rnacentral:rRNA from 1 species
AUACGGAGGGUGCAAGCGUUACUCGGAAUCACUGGGCGUAAAGCGCGCGCAGGCGGCUAUUUAAGUUGGAUGUGAAAGCCUGCGGCUCAACCGUAGAACUGCAUCCAAAACUAUUUAGCUAGAGUGUGGGAGAGGAAGAUGGAAUUAGUUGUGUAGGGGUAAAAUCCGUAGAGAUAACUAGGAAUACCAAAAGCGAAGGCAAUCUUCUGGAACACUACUGACGCUGAGGCGCGAAAGCGUGGGGAGCAAACAGGAUUAGAAACCCUAGUAGUCC